rnacentral:rRNA from 1 species
UACGUAGGGUGCAAGCGUUGUCCGGAAUUAUUGGGCGUAAAGAGCUCGUAGGCGGUUCGUCGCGUCGGCUGUGAAAUCCCGAGGCUCAACCUCGGGUCUGCAGUCGAUACGGGCGGACUGGAGUUCGGCAGGGGAGACUGGAAUUCCUGGUGUAGCGGUGAAAUGCGCAGAUAUCAGGAGGAACACCGAUGGCGAAGGCAGGUCUCUGGGCCGAUACUGACGCUGAGGAGCGAAAGCGUGGGGAGCGAACAGG